rnacentral:lncRNA from 1 species
AUUCCUGUAUUGUACCAUGAAAGAUAAGCAUAGUGUCAUGUCCUUUAUUACAUUACAUUUGACUACGCCUAGAAGUCAGAUAUAUGAGUGCAUAAUUGAAUUGCUGUCAUAGUUACAAAGAGUGAUAGUUUUCAUCUGGAUGAUCUUCAGAUUGAAGUUUUAGUAUUACAGCAUUAUGAGUUAAUUAAUAAAGUAUUAAUUGUUCCGUCAAAAUAAUGUAACCAUCUGAUAAAUUAGCUUAUUUUCUACAGUGGUUAAACCACCUGCAGUUAAAAAAUUUUUGUCCCUUUUUAAAAUUUGCAUUUACUAUGUUGAAUUUUUUUAAUGUCAUGCAGAUAGUUGGCAGUCAAUAGUUCUUGUGCAGUUGCUAUCUACAAUCUACAGUCAGACUGUUUCAGGUUGCUAAAAUUGCCUCUAGCGCCGCAUUUAAAUUGUGAGUAGGUUAUGUUAUAAUGAUGUAGUUAUUUAUCGGAUAUAAAUGUAAGCUAGUCCCAGCUUCCUGGUACGUGGUGUAUUUAUUAAGAUUCCCAUAUCAAAGGGACAUAUGAUCUGUACUAAUGAAUUUAUGUCAAUGUCUGCCACAAUUUUUCAUGCAAUAGGUACUGAUUUUUCUUGUUCUGCAAUAACCAGGAAGCUCCGUGUUGACUGAGGCAGUAUUAUAAUUUUAAGGUACUAGAGUGAUGUAAGUUCUAAAAGUUAGUGGAUGGGUUUAUGCUAGUCUUAGGUACAAGACUAUGCAUUAAGCCUUUGACUGUGUGUUGCACUUCCAUUGAGAUUGUUAAACAUAUUUGUAUAUAAUUGUAUAUACGGAUUUUCAUAUUUAGAUUGUACAUAAGAUGACUGAAAUGCCUGUACAGAAGACACCAAAUCAUUUUGUAUUCAUAUGAAACAACAUAAUUCUAAAAUUUUUGUAUUUAAGUACAGGUUUUAAAUUCAUUUCAUUAAAAUUAUUUAAUGUUUGGCAUCUAUGAUUCUCUUGAACAUUGAUUUUGUAAAAAAUUGUUUAUGUUGGUGUCACAUUGUCAUUGCUGUGAAGUUUAUUGACAGCUGUAAUAGGUAAUGAUCAUCACAAAUAUUGGCUUAAUGUCAAUCUGUUCCUAGAUGAUGUGAAUUUUGAACAGUACGCAACAUGAAAAUGGGGGGGAAUGUUAUGGUAGGGGUGAAUCACCUGUAUGUAAUGUGCAUUAUUGUAUCUUUACUGUUUCCAAGGGUAAUCAAAUCUGCCUCCAAAGGCACAAUGUGUGCUUAUGGUGCUCUUAUAUUUUUACAUUUCAGUAAAUAGUUAAUAUUAACUAACAACUAUGAUACAUAUCUUUGUUGUAGGUUGUCGUUCAUUGUAAUAUUACAUUGAUUUCAUUUUAUAUAUUUUUGUGAGAGAUAAUUAGUCUUUAAAAGAUG